CUGACCGAGCAACGCCGCGUGAGUGAAGAAGGUUUUCGGAUCGUAAAGCUCUGUUGUAAGUCAAGAACGUGUGUGAGAGUGGAAAGUUCACACAGUGACGGUAGCUUACCAGAAAGGGACGGCUAACUACGUGCCAGCAGCCGCGGUAAUACGUAGGUCCCGAGCGUUGUCCGGACUUAUUGGGCGUAAAGGGAGCGCAGGCGGUCAGGAAAGUCUGGAGUAAAAGGCUAUGGCUCAACCAUAGUGUGCUCUGGAAACUGUCUGACUUGAGUGCAGAAGGGGAGAGUGGAAUUCCAUGUGUAGCGGUGAAAUGCGUAGAUAUAUGGAGGAACACCAGUGGCGAAAGCGGCUCUCUGGUCUGUCACUGACGCUGAGGCUCGAAAGCGUGGGUAGCGAACAGGAUUAGAUACCCUGGUAGUCCACGCCGUAAACGAUGAGUGCUAGGUGUUAGGCCCUUUCCGGGGCCUAGUGCCGGAGCUAACGCAAUAAGCACUCCGCCUGGGGAGUACGACCGCAAGGUUGAAACUCAAAGGAAUUGACGGGGGCCCGCACAAGCGGUGGAGCAUGUGGUUUAAUUCGAAGCAACGCGAAGAACCUUACCAGGUCUUGACAUCCCGAUGCUAUUCUUAGAGAUAGGAAGUUACUUCGGUACAUCGGAGACAGGUGGUGCAUGG
rnacentral:rRNA from 1 species